AGAACGAACGCUGGCGGCAGGCUUAACACAUGCAAGUCGAGCGCCCAGCAAUGGGAGCGGCGGACGGGUGAGUAACACGUGGGAACAUGCCCUUUGGUACGGAACAACUCAGGGAAACUUGAGCUAAUACCGUAUGUGCCGGUAACGGGAAAGAUUUAUCGCCAAAGGAUUGGCCCGCGUCCGAUUAGCUAGUUGGUGAGGUAACGGCCCACCAAGGCUCCGAUCGGUAGCUGGUUUGAGAGAACGACCAGCCACACUGGGACUGAGACACGGCCCAGACUCCUACGGGAGGCAGCAGUGGGGAAUCUUGGACAAUGGGGGAAACCCUGAUCCAGCCAUGCCGCGUGAGUGAUGAAGGCCUUCGGGUUGUAAAACUCUUUCGACGGGGACGAUAAUGACGGUACCCGUAGAGAAGCUCGGCUAACUCGUGCCAGCAGCCG
rnacentral:rRNA from 1 species